UACGUAGGUGGCAAGCGUUGUCCGGAUUUACUGGGCGUAAAGGAUGCGUAGGCGGACAUUUAAGUCAGAUGUGAAAUACCCGAGCUUAACUUGGGUGAUGCAUUUGAAACUGGGUGACUAGAGUGCAGGAGAGGUAAGUGGAAUUCCUAGUGUAGCGGUGAAAUGCGUAGAGAUUAGGAAGAACACCAGUGGCGAAGGCGACUUACUGGACUGUAACUGACGCUGAGGUAUGAAAGCGUGGGGAGCAAACAGG
rnacentral:rRNA from 1 species